UACGUAGGGUGCGAGCGUUAAUCGGAAUUACUGGGCGUAAAGCGUGCGCAGGCGGUUCGUUGUGUCGGCGGUGAAAGCCCCGGGCUUAACCUGGGAAUGGCCGUCGAAACUGGCGAACUGGAGUGUGGCAGAGGGGGGUGGAAUUCCGCGUGUAGCAGUGAAAUGCGUAGAGAUGCGGAGGAACACCGAUGGCGAAGGCAGCCCCCUGGGCUGACACUGACGCUCAGGCGCGAAAGCUAGGGGAGCAAACAGG
rnacentral:rRNA from 1 species